UACGGAGGGGGCCAGCGUUGUUCGGAAUCAUUGGGCGUAAAGGGCGCGUAGGCGGCCACGCAAGUCGGAUGUGAAAUCCCUCGGCUCAACCGAGGAACUGCAUCCGAAACUGCGAGGCUCGAGUCCUGGAGAGGGUAGUGGAAUUCCCAGUGUAGCGGUGAAAUGCGUAGAUACUGGGAGGAACACCAGUGGCGAAGGCGGCUCACUGGACCGGAACUGACGCUGAGGUGCGAAAGCGUGGGGAGCGAACAGG
rnacentral:rRNA from 1 species